GGUUAUCGAAAUGAUAAAGCAGCAAAGAUAGCUUUAAAAACUGUGAAAGACUGGCUGAAAACAAAGGACAAUGCUUUUAAAGUACAACGCAUUAUCUUCUGCCUUUAUCUUCAGAAAGACAUGACUAUUUACGAGGAGUUGAUGGAGGAAAUUUUUCCUUGUGAGUCAUAAUUAAAAUUCCUUGAAAAAUUUUUCUUUCUGAUGACCAAUUAUCAUAUCAGUCGUCCUGUGAGAAAACUAUUUUGUGUGAAAAUGAAAGUAUAAUAAAUUUCUAUCAUUAGCGUGAUAAUUAUUAGAUUUUUAAGUAUUUUCGAAGUACAAAAAUUACAUUAUAAAAAUGAUGUUUUCUAAAAUUUUACUAUGACUGUUUUGAGUUUUAACAGUUUUCAAAGCAUUAGUGCAAUGAAGUUGGAUACUUUUGUUUUGUAGUGUUGUUUUAAAGGUAACAAUAUUGCCUUAAGAAACAGACCAUAAACACAGUGACCUUAGCUUACUUUAUAUAGAAUAUAAAUUGUAAUGUUACUCUAAAAUUAUGCAACACAUAUAAACUUCUGUUUGGUUAUUUUGUAUUAAGGUGUUAUCAUUUUGAAUUCUUCAAGACCAGGUAACAAUAGAAUAUACUUUUUUUCCAAUUGCUAACUUUUGCUCAAAUCUUUGCCAUUUUAUGUAGAUGCUUGACUUUUUUUUCUGCAAGUUUUUACUCCUUCCUUUUGUUUUGAAUAAUUUUUCUGUCUUCAUAGUAAAUUUAUCAUUAAUAAAAAUGUAAAAAGACUAUAUUUACUCUUGUAUGAUGUUGAGUACUUUAAUGCUAUUUAAUGGCAAUCAGAAAGUGUUUUAUUGUAGAGAAAAUAUAAAUUGAUAUAUUAGUAAAGUAGUGUAGCAUGGCCUUUAAAAUUCAAACAGCCAUUGUAAAUCAAUACAUAUGUGGAAAAACUUAUGUGUCAAUUAGGUAUAUUUAAAACAUUUUGGUGAUGUGCUAGCUAACCUUGUGAGUUUAUUCAAGAGAGAAUAGAACAUGUAUAGGAAACAUAACAAUGCAGACAUUUAUAAAUUUUGAUUGAAAAUUCAGUCAGUUUAGUUUUUCUUGCUAAACUUGUGCAGUAUGUUUUUGGCAUGGUUAUUUGUGCAGUUAUCAAGUUAUGUAAAGAUUAAGCAGGAUGUAAAAACUAUCAAUCUGUAGAUUUUAUAGAAAAACAUUUUUCAAUAUAUUUUGUGAAUAAAAUACCGUUUUUUAAAUGUUAUUGUGAUGUAAUUCCCCCCUUUUUUUCAGUAUGUUAAGUUUUAUUAAAUUUGAAAUCCAAAUUUAUGAAAUUUUUAAUCCUUUGCUUAACAGCAUUUUUCUGCAUCUUUACAUUAAGCACUAAAAUCUUUUAUAGUAAAAUAUUCUAAACAACUAUUGUAAAAAUUAUUUUUAUUUUUUAACCUAACUAAAUGCAAAAUUAUUCAAAUGUUGAAGUUUUAUAGCUUGAUUCUUUAUCGAGCACUUUAUAAUCUGUAAUGUAUUUGUUCUGAAUUUAUAUUUUGUGCACCUAAAAAGUUUCCAAAAGGCAAGUUUCAUUUUGGCAACUGAAUUUUUCAGUUGUUUUUAAAUCCCUAUAAUUAAAGUAAACUAAUAAUUCUAUGAUUUAUUUUAUAGCUAUUUUAGUUAUAAAAGCUGUUGCACUGUAAGGAGUGUAUAAAUAAAUCUUUUGCUAAUUUAUGAUUCUUGGUUAAAUAAGCAAACUCAAUUCAAGUUAUCUUUAUUUAUGAAUUCUAGAUAUUUUUACUAAUUCAAACACUUAACACGAUUCUAUUUGGUUCCUGCUUCAGCUGAAAGAUCAGCAAAGUAGGUCCAAAAUUAAUGCUUGUAUAUUUACUGGAUUUGUUUGGCUAAUGUCAUAUCAUUGCUAGAAAAUUCCAGCAGUAGAGUUAUUUAUGAUUUUAUUAUAAUAUGAUUAACCUUGUUUCUGUAGAGAAUUCACAAAUGUCUGUUGAAGCCAGAAUUGUUUGUUAUUUUUAUUCUUAAAAAAAAAAAUUCUGUGAAUGUUUUGAAUAUUUAUGAAGUUGAUAAUGGAUGUCUGGAUCUUCAAAAAUAUGUAGCAUGG